rnacentral:ncRNA from 1 species
UAAAAAGCUGUGAGCAGGACGAGUACAUUUGUACACUUCAGUUCAGCGAGCCGGUGACCGGAUUUCCGGAGGUGUGAUGACCGGCCUGGAGAGCAUAUGGAAUGGACCUGUGAGCUGUCCACCGAAAGCAACUGCAAGUAGGCUGGGCCGGCUGCCGCCGUUAGCAGGCUAGGGUAUCGGAUUUUUGUCCCGUACCUGAAUAAGGAAAAGUGCAGACUUUUCAAAUAGGGUGGUAUCGCGACCAUUUCGCCCCUGGG